AGAGUUUGAUCCUGGCUCAGAACGAACGCUGGCGGCAGGCCUAACACAUGCAAGUCGAGCGCUGUAGCAAUACAGAGCGGCGCACGGGUGAGUAACACGUGGGAACGUGCCCUUUGGUUCGGAAUAACUCAGGGAAACUUGAGCUAAUACCGGAUGAGCCCUAACGGGGAAAGAUUUAUCGCCGAAGGAGCGGCCCGCGUUGGAUUAGCUAGUUGGUGGGGUAAAAGCCUACCAAGGCAACGAUCCAUAGCUGGUUUGAGAGAACGACCAGCCACACUGGGACUGAGACACGGCCCAGACUCCUACGGGAGGCAGCAGUGGGGAAUCUUGGACAAUGGGGGAAACCCUGAUCCAGCCAUGCCGCGUGAGUGAUGAAGGCCCUAGGGUUGUAAAACUCUUUCGGCGGGGACGAUAAUGACGGUACCCGCAGAAGAAGCUCCGGCUAACUUCGUGCCAGCAGCCGCGGUAAUACGAAGGGGGCUAGCGUUGUUCGGAAUUACUGGGCGUAAAGCGCGCGCAGGCGGUUCUUCAAGUCAGAGGUGAAAGCCCAGGGCUCAACCCUGGAAUGGCCUUUUGAGACUAGAGGACUUGGGUACGGGAGAGGUGAGUGGAAUUCCGAGUGUAGAGGUGAAAUUCGUAGAUAUUCGGAAGAACACCAGUGGCGAAGGCGGCUCACUGGCCCGUUACCGNNNCUCAGGCGCGACAGCGUGGGGAGCAAACAGGAUUAGAUACCCUAGUAGUCC
rnacentral:rRNA from 1 species